UACGUAGGGGGCGAGCGUUGUCCGGAUUUAUUGGGCGUAAAACGCUUGUAGGCGGCCACGCCAAGUCGGAUGUGAAAUCUCCCGGCUUAACUGGGAGGGGUCAUCCGAUACUGGCGGGCUCGAGGCAGGUAGGGGGAAGUGGAAUUCCCGGUGUAGUGGUGGAAUGCGCAGAUAUCAGGAGGAACACCUAUUGCGAAGGCAGCUCGCUGGGACGUUACUGACGCUGAGACGCGAAAGCGUGGGGAGCAAACAGG
rnacentral:rRNA from 1 species